rnacentral:snRNA from 1 species
GCGUUCGAAUUGUAGUCUG